rnacentral:misc_RNA from 1 species
GGAGGAGCCAGUACCGCCGGGGAGGUGGAUUGGUCUCCGUUUCUUCUCCGGUGGCCGGUCAGCGCUGUGCUGCCAGGAGGAGGUCCGUGAUGGCGGCGGCCGGCGCGGUCCCCGCGGCGAAGCUGGAGAACGCCGACGCGCUCAUCGACUCCGUCGAGACGUUCAUAUUCGAUUGCGACGGUGUGAUUUGGAAGGGCGACAAGCUGAUCGACGGAGUGCCGGAGACGCUCGACAUGCUCAGAUCAAAGGGCAAGAGGCUGGUGUUCGUGACGAACAACUCGACCAAGUCGAGGAAGCAAUACGGGAAGAAGUUUGAGACGCUGGGACUAAACGUCAAUGAGGAAGAGAUCUUCGCUUCGUCGUUCGCAGCUGCCGCGUACCUGCAGUCCAUCGAUUUCCCCAAAGACAAGAAGGUUUAUGUGAUUGGAGAGGACGGGAUUCUGAAGGAGCUGGAGCUGGCUGGAUUUCAGUACCUCGGCGGGCCAUCUGAUGGAGACAAGAAGAUAGAGCUGAAGCCUGGAUUUUACAUGGAACAUGACAAAGAUGUUGGAGCAGUUGUUGUGGGAUUCGAUCGCUAUUUUAACUACUACAAAGUACAGUACGGGACACUGUGCAUUCGUGAGAAUCCAGGGUGCCUUUUCAUUGCCACAAACCGGGACGCCGUCACCCAUCUUACUGAUGCCCAAGAGUGGGCAGGUGGAGGGUCAAUGGUUGGUGC